rnacentral:snRNA from 1 species
GCUGACUUCAGCUGUACAUAUAAUUGGCAUAAUACAGAGAAGAUUAGUAUGGCUCCUGCCCAAGGAUAAUAUGCAAAUUCGUGAAGCAUUUUAUAUUUUU